rnacentral:rRNA from 1 species
UACGGGGGGAGCAAGCGUUGUUCGGAUUUACUGGGCGUAAAGGGCGCGUAGGCGGCGUGACAAGUCACUUGUGAAAUCUCCGGGCUUAACUCGGAACGGUCAAGUGAUACUGUCGUGCUAGAGUACAGAAGGGGCAACUGGAAUUCUCGGUGUAGCGGUGAAAUGCGCAGAUAUCAGGAGGAACACCCGUAGCGAAGGCGGCACUCUGGGCCGAUACUGACACUGAGGAGCGAAAGCGUGGGGAGCGAACAGG